AAAGUGGAAUGCAGCCAAGGGUGAUUUGCCGGCAGAUAUAUAUGAAUAUUCAUAGAGAUGCAUGUGUCGGCAAGUUCCUCUUGGCUACAUUUCGCUUUCU
rnacentral:pre_miRNA from 14 species